GGGGCAAUAGCGUAGCUGGUUAACGCGUCUGUUCACGUGAGACUCCCGUCAUCCAUAUCAACAGAAGAUCCUCAGUUCGAACCUGAGUUGCGCCA